rnacentral:other from 1 species
CGGGUUCUGCCCUACUCGUGAUAGGUUGCAUUCCGGUGGCCUUAAGCAAUUCCGAGGGAGCUGGCUCUGUCCGGGCCUUGGUCCGGUUACCUGGCCCCCACCUGUACAUACAGGUCCUCGGGAAUGAGAGAACCAAACGGUUGCGGUGGUUCCCGU